rnacentral:rRNA from 1 species
GGGGAAUAACAGUGAGAAAUCAUUGCUAAUACCGCAUAUGCCAUAAAUAUCACAUGAUAAAAGUGGGAAAGGAGUAAUCCGCUGAUAGAUGGGCUCGCGUCUGAUUAGAUAGUUGGUGGGGUAACGGCCUACCAAGUCGACGAUCAGUAGCCGGACUGAGAGGUUGAACGGCCACAUUGGGACUGAGAUACGGCCCAGACUCCUACGGGAGGCAGCAGUCGGGAAUAUUGCGCAAUGGAGGAAACUCUGACGCAGUGACGCCGCGUAUAGGAAGAAGGUUUUCGGAUUGUAAACUAUUGUCGUUAGGGAAGAUACAAGACAGUACCUAAGGAGGAAGCUCCGGCUAACUACGUGCCAGCAGCCGCGGUAAUACGUAGGGAGCAAGCGUUAUCCGGAUUUAUUGGGUGUAAAGGGUGCGUAGACGGGAAAGCAAGUUAGUUGUGAAAUCCCUCGGCUUAACUGAGGAACUGCAACUAAAACUACUUUUCUUGAGUGUUGGAGAGGAAAG